GGAACAUAUAACAUCUAGGUGGGCCAAAACACUGGUAAAGGCCAGUGUAAGCACACAGCUGCUGAUAGCACUGCCCUGUGCUAUACAUGCCCUUUUUUACACCGUCCUUACUUCCGUGGCCAAAUGAGGCCUGCUAAAGGACUCUCCCAGAUCUCUCUGAGAUACCCUGCAGGGAUCACUGUUUCAAGAGGCAGUGACAGGCCAGCAACAAAGUCAGAGGACGGAGUGAAGCAGGAGUUUAAAAUAACCUGUUCUCUGCUGCAAGUGCAGCUCUGCCAACCUGUCAGUCCAGCCAUGCAAGAGAGGGAGAGAGAGAAAAAAGGAGGGAGCGAAGCAGAGAUUCUUUCAGAUCUCAGCAGAUAUUAAGAUUUCCAAUGAACAAAGGAAACAAAUAGCCCCCGGGACCACAAGUGUGUUCUGUAA
rnacentral:lncRNA from 1 species